AAUGAAUUUUAGAAGCUCGUUAUACCUAAUAAAACAUAUAUGAAUUUCCUAUACAUUUCAUCAUUCUGAAGUUAGAACACACGUUGGCGUGCCUGAGUCGUGAUCCGCAUCAAUCUCUGUUAAUUUGUUUGGGAAACAUAAACCCAGAAAAACGAUUGUUCGUGUUUUGUGCCAGUAGUAAUUUUUCGCCGGAGGAUUUUACCAGCUGAGUGGCAGCAAAGAUAACUUUUCAUCGCUGUGAUAUAAGCAAACAUUUACGAACGUAAAACAAGGUAAAAUAAGGGACAGCAGCGGAGGAAAACAGAUUCGAACUUUAGCGAGAAUGCGCACGGUUCCAUUCUUCGCCAUGCACAGGAAACAUAAAUCCACCCGAACAAUAGCACCCAAUCCGCUGAAUCUGGAUCUAUGUACCAGCCAGGAUAAACAUGCAUCAGGCAUGAAACUGUGUCCCACCAUUCAGA